UACGUAGGGGGCGAGCGUUGUCCGGAGUGACUGGGCGUAAAGAGCACGUAGGCGGGUUAGCGCGUUGAGGGUGACAGCGCUCGGCUUCACUGAGCGAGGACUUUCAAAACGGCUGACCUGGAGGCACGGAGAGGCAGACGGAAUUCCGGGUGGAGUGGUGAAAUGCGUAGAGAUCCGGAAGAACACCAAAGGCGAAGGCAGUCUGCUGGCCGUGACCUGACGCUGAGGAGCGAAAGCUAGGGGAGCGAACAGG
rnacentral:rRNA from 1 species